rnacentral:pre_miRNA from 1 species
UAUGUGUACAUUCUGUUGGUGGUAAGAAUCUAUGUGUACGUUCUGUUGGUAGUAAGAAUCUGUGUGUACAUUCACACAUAGAUUCUUACCACCAACAGAAUGUACACA